CGUGUAAGAUGAAUCACCCUUAGUGAGGAAAGGAGUUAGGUUCGGAACAAUCUAAUGCGUUUUUGAGAUAAGAUGGAAGAAUAAAGAAGGUCAAGGUCCCACUUUUAAGUGGACCCCUCUUUGAGAUUUCAACGAUUUAUUUCUUUUGUAUUGAUGUUCCUUGUUGUUUCUUUUCUUCUUAUUCCUUUUUGUUUUACUCCAUCUCAAUUAAUUAAACCUGCGUUACAACACAAACUUCGAAUCGUAUAGU